rnacentral:rRNA from 1 species
GAUGAACGCUGGCGGCGUGCCUAAUACAUGCAAGUAGAACGCUGAAGCUUGGUGCUUGCACCGAGCGGAUGAGUUGCGAACGGGUGAGUAACGCGUAGGUAACCUGCCUCUUAGCGGGGGAUAACUAUUGGAAACGAUAGCUAAUACCGCGUAAAAGACGAUAUCGCAUGAUAUUGAUUUGAAAGGUGCAAUUGCAUCACUAAGAGAUGGACCUGCGUUGUAUUAGCUAGUUGGUGAGGUAACGGCUCACCAAGGCGACGAUACAUAGCCGACCUGAGAGGGUGAUCGGCCACACUGGGACUGAGACACGGCCCAGACUCCUACGGGAGGCAGCAGUAGGGAAUCUUCGGCAAUGGACGGAAGUCUGACCGAGCAACGCCGCGUGAGUGAAGAAGGUUUUCGGAUCGUAAAGCUCUGUUGUAAGAGAGGAACGAGUGUGAGAGUGGAAAGUUCACACUGUGACGGUAUCUUACCAGAAAGGGACGGCUAACUACGUGCCAGCAGCCGCGGUAAUACGUAGGUCCCGAGCGUUGUCCGGAUUUAUUGGGCGUAAAGCGAGCGCAGGCGGUUAGAAAAGUCUGAAGUGAAAGGCAGUGGCUCAACCAUUGUAGGCUUUGGAAACUGUUUAACUUGAGUGCAGAAGGGGAGAGUGGAAUUCCAUGUGUAGCGGUGAAAUGCGUAGAUAUAUGGAGGAACACCGGUGGCGAAAGCGGCUCUCUGGCUUGUAACUGACGCUGAGGCUCGAAAGCGUGGGGAGCAAACAGG